rnacentral:lncRNA from 1 species
CAAUGCGUAAUCCAUCCUCCUGUAAUUUCCUUUUGGCGAAAUAAUCUGAUCACGUGGGCCAAAACUGCUGUCCAUUUUGCCGAAUGCCGUCUAGGCGUCUAUUAUUACCUGUACCUGCUGUACGAGUUUGCUGUACGUCUCGUCCCAUGAAGAAGCACUUCAGACCAAUUUAAGUCUCAGACUGCUGUGCUGAUAUAUUGCAGAAAUCGAGAACACAGCCAAGUCAUAGCUACAUUGAUGUCGUGGGACCACAUGCUACUAAAUUACUUCUUGCCUAAACAUGUAAUAAAAAAAAAAACAGUAGUUUUUUCAGAGUACUUGACUUGAAAUUUGUGUCUCACGUUGCCGAAAUAUGUCUUCUCCUGCUUGUUCUACAUAGCAUCCUAUGAACAGGUAACAGCAUAGUGGACAAGGUUUCGAUAGCCAUUUGACGUUGACGGUGUCAAUGGAGAUGCUGAAUUUCACAAUUCAACUCUGCCAAACAGUUUUUCAUAUGGCCUGAAUCUGAAGAUUAAUUUAAUUUGAUUUUGUUUCUAGAUUAUGCUCCCAUAGCUGCUGUCUACUUGUUGCAGCCAUAUGCUGGUGGUAAAAGUCUUUUUGCAUAAAGUUGAACUGUGAUUGUACCUUGAUGACGGUUUCAUGUUGCGGAAGUUUAGAACAGUAUGUUAAAUUGUCAUUUUGCCAAAUAAUAAACAAAUCAUCGCGAUUGGGAAAGCAACGAGGAGGUGGGAGGGAGACUUAAAUAUUUAAAAGAAAUGUUGAGGUGUUUUGUCGAAGAAAUUGACUCGGUAAUUAUAAAUAUCUUCAACUUUA